rnacentral:rRNA from 1 species
AAUCCCUACGGGACGCAGCAGUGGGGAAUAUUGCACAAUGGGGGAAACCCUGAUGCAGCGACGCCGCGUGAGUGAAGAAGUAUCUCGGUACGUAAAGCUCUAUCAGCAGGGAAGAAAAAAAGUCUUUGGCUUUGGACGGUACCUGACUAAGAAGCCCCGGCUAACUACGUGCCAGCAGCCGCGGUAAUACGUAGGGGGCAAGCGUUAUCCGGAUUUACUGGGGGUAAAGGGAGCGCAGACGGCAGCGCAAGUCUGGAGUGAAAUGCCGGGGCUCAACCCCGGAACUGCUUUGGAAGCUGUGCAGG